rnacentral:rRNA from 1 species
AUACGAGUUUGAUCAUGGCUCAGAACGACGCUGGCGGCAGGCCUAACACAUGCAAGUCGAGCGAACCCUUCGGGGUUAGCGGCGGACGGGUUAGUAACGCGUGGGAAUAUACCCUUUGGUACGGAAUAGCCUCGGGAAACUGAGAGUAAUACCGUAUGUGCCCUUCGGGGGAAAGAUUUAUCGCCAAAGGAUUAGCCCGCGUUGGAUUAGAUAGUUGGUGGGGUAAUGGCCUACCAAGUCUACGAUCCAUAGCUGGUUUGAGAGGAUGAUCAGCAACACUGGGACUGAGACACGGCCCAGACUCCUACGGGAGGCAGCAGUGGGGAAUCUUAGACAAUGGGCGCAAGCCUGAUCUAGCCAUGCCGCGUGGACGACGAAGGCCUUAGGGUUGUAAAGUCCUUUCAGAUGGGAAGAUAAUGACGGUACCAUCAGAAGAAGCCCCGGCUAACUCCGUG